rnacentral:misc_RNA from 1 species
GAUGAAGAACGUAGCGAAAUGUGAUAAGUAAUGCGAAUUGCAGAAUUCCAGUGAGUCAUCGAAUCUUUGAACGCACAUUGCGCCCGCGAGUAUUCUCGCGGGCAUGCCUGUCCGAGCGUCAUUUCAACCCUCAGGGCCCGCCUGCUUCGGCAGGCGCGGCGCUGGUGUUGGGGAUCGGCCUAACCGCCGUCCCCCAAAUACAGUGGCGGUCUCGCUGCAGCCUCCCCUGCGUAGUAGCAACACUCGCAUGCGGAGCGCGGCGCGGCCACGCCGUAAAACCCCCGACUUUCUGAACGUUGACCUCGGAUCAGGUAGGAAUACCCGCUGAACUUAAGCAUAUCAAUAAGCGGAGGA